ACGGCCGCUGCUUAUGGUGGAAAUGUAAUAGAUAUAAGUACAGAGCGCGUGAGCGAACUAAAAACGCGAUAGAGAAGUAGAGAGAGGAUGUUCCGUCCUUGUCUAUUGACGCGCACUUGUACAGGAAAUAUGUAACAGCGGUAUACGAGCAGCGUCAGUGUCCACUAGUGUGCAUGCCUGAUUAAACAAGGACAGGAAGUAUCUAUACAUGGUGUUCUCUUUCUAUUUCCAUGUUGCAUCCAUCUUACUAUACAGUACACACACUCAGCUAUUCUAUCAUUAUAUUUGUGCGUUGCUUAUGUGUGAACCAAACAUUUCCAUGGCAACAAAUCGUUUGUCUCUUGUUUGAUGCUCGGUUUUCAACGGAGUUGAAAGAAUUUUUUAAGAGAAACGUAAUGGACGGGUUGUUUUUAAAGUAAUAAACGGAAAUUCUCGUAUCCAUUGAGAAACGAUAGGCGAUUUGAAAGUGUCACUAUGAACGGUGAUUUAUCGAUGCAAGGUAGUAUGAAUAAGAUAUUUUAUAAUCUGCGAAAAAAGGUAAGGAAUAUUCUAGAUUUUAGAUUUUAGAAUUUCCACGUCACAGACGAGUGUGUUUUGUUAUUUGAUUUGUAAUAUUGCUGCAGUUCUCUUAAUAGCUGUUCGUUUCAUGCGAUACUCGCACAUAGUAUCUAUGACUUUUGCUUCUAACAAUUUUUAUAAUUAGGCUGUAUCAAAUAUUUUUAACGUUCGUGUUUCAUGAAAAAUCAUGUGUAACUCGUUGAAUUCGCAAAUGUAACAAAAAAUUACAUGAAAAACCUUAUAUUAUUGUAAUGAAAAAAUAAUUAUAUUAGGAGGAGAGUCGUAUUUCGGAACGUCAUCGGAACAUAUUAUACCUUGUAUGUGAUUAUUUGGAACACAAUGGAAAUCAGUGGACAUCAUGGAAAGAGAAGGCGAAACCAAAUUUGAAAAUUCGACAUCGGUAAUUCAGUAGUUAAGAAUAACUCAAUCGAUAAUGUAGAUUAACUAGUUAUAAACAAAUAUAUGAAAUAUAAAUUCAAAUUAUUCUUAUCCAUCUAAAAAUUGGAAAUUAAAGAGCAGAAGACAAGAAAUUAUCUUCGAGGAUUUAUAUAACGUUAGCGAUGUAUUAUUCCGGGAAGCUCGUCUAUCUCCCGAACAUCGGGUUUGCGACAACAUCGAUUUGGAAAUUAUCGUUGCAGAGUAUGAAAAUUAUUACAAGAUGAAAUUUCAAAAAUAUCCCAUAUUGUGUAAGAAAAUAACUGGAAGGGAAAUGACGAGGGAAGUGACAAAUGCAAGCAAAACUGUUUGUAGAAGUAUUGAGACAAAAGCCAAAUCUUUUAGUAAACAAGCGAGAAGUGAGCCUGUGAAAGAGACGAAUCUACAGCAGAAGAUAACUGAUGACAAUACGAAUCAUAUUAAUCUCGCAAUGACAGUGACGUCAAUAUUCCCCAAUGAGAGUGAUGGACGUUCAUCAGAAGAGCUAUUUAACGUCCCAAUGGAACAAUCCAUGCAAUCGAAGAUAUUGAAAUGCAUUGAAAAGCUUUAUUCAGAUAAUACGGAAUUACGAAAGAUUGCUGAGGACGUCUCAUGCGAGAUCGUAGUAAACAAAUUAAAUGUACAUUGGGAUGACGUUAUAGGCCUAGAAGAAUGUAAAACCGCUGUUAAGGAGGCCGUUGUGUAUCCCCUUAAGUAUCCUAUCUCUUUUGAUGGCCCGUUUUCCCCAUGGAAAGGUAUUUUGCUGUACGGCCCACCUGGUACAGGGAAAACGAAGUUAGCGAAGGCAGUCGCGACAGAAUGCCAUUGCACCUUUUUUAACAUAACUGCCAGCUGAUUGGUCAGCAAAUGGAGAGGCGAUUCCGAGAAGUAUAUACGUGUUUUAUUUGAACUUGCCUAUAGUCAUUCGCCUACAAUUAUUUUUAUCGACGAGAUUGACUGGAUCGCCACAAAUAAAGGAGACUGUAUAUUGUCUGAACCUGCAAAGAGAUUCAGAUCAGAACUUCUUUCUAGAUUGGAUGGAUUAGUGUCUAAUGAGAAUUCUAAUGUAGUUCUUCUGGCUACAACUAAUUCCCCUUGGGGCAUUGAUGCAGCUUUACUCAGGCGUCUCGAAAAGCAAAUAUACGUAUCAUUACCCAAUGAAGUUGCUCGACUUGGUAUAUUCAAAUUAUACCUUAGCAACCACUUAUUAGAAAAUACAGAUAUUGUAAACCACAUAGUAAAAUGUACUGAAAGAUAUUCUUGUGCAGAUAUAAAAUUGCUUUGUAAGCAAGCGUGGCUACUAGAAAUAAGCCCGAUAUGGAGGAGACUUGAAAAGAAAGAAACACCUGUUACCACUUUGAAAUAUGAAUUAAAAAGUUAUGAAAUAUUAGCAAAAUUGUUAAAAAAAAUGUCACCUACAGUUAUGCAAAUAGAUAAAUAUGAUACGCGGAACAAAUAAAUACGCAAUCGUAAUGACAGAUAUUGAAAAAUAUAAAUAAAUGGAUUAUCGUUCGAGAAAUCAUUCGCAUGUGUGUGCAUGUGUGUAUGCGCGCAUGUGUGUGCGCGCAUGUGUGUCGUGUGUGUCAUGUGUGUGUGCGUGUGUGUGCGCGCACACGCUAUAGGCUAAGUUUAAAAUGUUCGGUUGUAUUAUAUCCUUGUAUUAUAUAUGUCGGAGAUGAAAGGAAAACCGGAGCCUUCCCUUUGCAAUUUUGAGGAAGCCUUCUAAUGCUUUAGCCUAGAUUUUAUCAUAACUGUAAUUAAGCAAUUGUCAUUUGUAAUUGUUUGAUAUUUGUGAAAGCGAAAGUGAGUUCGAGGUGACAACUGGUCGCCGAACGUAGCCACGGUCACGGGAUAAACGUUUUGCCUGACGAAGGUGUGGAUCGGUUGUAUUGUUCUCCCUAGAAAUCGCAUAGAAUUGUACUUUAGAGAUGUCGAUAUAAUGGGACACACGUUGUAUUAGGAAUCAAUCUCCAGACAGAAACUGCCUAGUAACGGCGUUUGAAUCUUUCUCGAUGUUUCCAAAGAGUAUACAACAAACUUUUGACAGAAAUUGCCUAGCAACAACGAUUGGAACCUUCUCGAUGUUUCCAGCGAGCAUAUAACAAACAAAUGCAGUCGGAUAGCGAAAAAGAUUUUCAUCAGAUAUUCAUUCGUGUGAUCGCCUUGGAAAGUGAUACAUCGAGCAAUUUACCGAGUGUCUCAGCAAUUGUAUUCUGUGUUUAAAAUUAUUCUACACAUAGUAAAGAGUUAUCCCGUUGACCGUGGAUUCGUUUGAACCCCGGAACAUUGUUAAUAGCGUUAAUUAAAUUCAUUAUUCGUGAAACCUAUCGAUCGUUAAUCUCAUUAUACGUUAAAUUCAUUAUUCGUAAGACAUAUUAUUCGUUCCUCUUAUUGUUCGUUAAACUUAUUAAUCUUUAAUCUAAUUAUUAGUUAAACUUAUCGUUUGUUAAUCUUAUUAUUUAUUAAACUCAUUAUUCAUAAUAUUUUGUAAAAUCUUGUUUAUUCGCGUAAAUAUAUUCUCUGUUUCGUAAAACAAUGGCUAAUUCAAACGAAGGAUCAUUACGCGCCUUAAAUCCUAAUGAUAACCCGACAUAUAUAUGUGAGUGUAUUUUAUCAAAAAUAUGUUUUUUAGUUUUUCUUAUCUUAGUAAUUAUUUUUAAAAAAAUAAAGUCUUAUAUGAAAAUAAA